UACGUAGGGGGCUAGCGUUGUCCGGAAUCAUUGGGCGUAAAGAGCGUGUAGGCGGUCCGGUAAGUCCACUGUGAAAGUCGGGGGCUCAACCCUCGAAUGCCGGUGGAUACUGUCGGGCUAGAGUGCGGAAGAGGCGAGUGGAAUUCCUGGUGUAGCGGUGAAAUGCGCAGAUAUCAGGAGGAACACCUAUUGCGAAGGCAGCUCGCUGGGACGUAACUGACGCUGGAGACGCGAAAGCGUGGGGAGCAAACAGG
rnacentral:rRNA from 1 species